AGUACAUGGGGUUUCAAAAUGGAGAUUUUAUCCUUUGUUUGCUGGUUGUUAUUCAAUUGAUCCAAUAGGAUUUAGUGAUGAA